CAACUAAGGAAUAACAACAUAAAUGCAUGAGAACAAGCUAACUCAGUCGCAUAAAUAUGCUCCUAUCAAAUUCCCCCACACUUAGCUUUUGCUAGUCCUCGAGCAAAACAAAAGAAACAAACGAAUCAAAACAAACAGAACACAACUUAACCUUCCAACAUUUGCCUCAGGGAUUUCCAAUGCACAUGACAUGUUAAAAAUCAUCAUUCCCACAACUUUUAGUCAUCUUCACACUUGAGCACAUACUUAAUUACAGUCAUCACUUACUAGUUUGCAAUUAACCAAUUAAAACUAUAUUUUGAAUGUAGUAACAUGCCUUAGAGAAUUUGCUCAAUUCCUUACAAUAUACUCUCUAUUUUCACACACAUUUUCUGACUACACACCCUACACUAGUUAUAUGUGAGCAGAAUGAUGUAAACAUGGAAGACUAGUACUCACAUAUGUUAUAACAAAGAAAGCAAUUUCUGGAGUUAAUAAGCAUGUUUAGAUAUGAUCUCAUGAAUGGAAUGCUACUACUUAGAUGCGAGAACCAGUGACACCAUAUGCUCAUACCAAUUUCAAACUCCACGAAUUGAAACACACAACACUCAAGAUUGAAGUCAAGGGUUGUAACGGGGCUUGGGGGUAAUGGCUAACAAAGAAAGGAUAGCAAUAACAAACGUUCUUAAAGUGAUAGCAAGCAAAGCAAUGAAAUAGAAACUUGGAAUUCACUUUAGAAUGCAGAAUCAACUUUUAAAUACAAAGGGAAGAUUCAUGCAACAUUUAGGGCCGAAUUCAAUGUUUUGGACCCUUUUUUAACAAUUUUUUUUCUUUUCACUCCUUUUUUUUUUUCCAAGCAUUUUCCUUCCACACUUGCUUUCUGCAAUACAUUGAUAAAAAAAGGAGUUAAUUUUAAGUUAUGCUUUACUAUGCUUCAAGAACAAGGGUAUGGAUGGUCCUAAAACUAGGCUAGGUAAGGAUAGUGUGGAUUAACAAAGAACAUAGGCUUAACAAGGCUCAACGGGGUUAAACUUAAACACAUAAUGAAAUAGGGGCACGACAAUUUGGCUUUGGUGGUCACUACACAACUUCAUCUUGAAUAUGUGUUAUGCAAAUCAAUAGCAUGCUUUGAAUGAAAUAGGCAUGAGUUCUAGCAUUUGGAAUUAAAUGAUGAAACGCCUUCUAAGUAGCAACCAAGCAAAGAAUAAUGAGAUCAUGCAACGACUUUGGAAAACAAUGAUGCACAUAUUAUUAACUCUCCAAAUAAACGUUUAGGCUCAAGUCUCACAAGGUUGUAGCGUUCAUUUGAGUUCCUUCCUUCAAGCAUGUUACAAAAACUGAUUUUUCCUUUAUGAUUGCAUGUGAAUUCAUAAAUUAUAACCACAACCAAGCACACACCAAAGAGUAAAUCAAAUUUUCAUCCAUGUUUAUAACUCUCUUUAACAAUCAUGUAAUUAAAAACCAAAUCCUCAUCAUUGUGUUGGAAGGUACCCUAAGACACAAAUAAACACACAAACAACUCUUUUUGGGUUUUUCAAAACAAUUUUUCAAAUUUUUAUGAGAUUUUCAGAUUUUUAUGCCAAAACACACUAAAACACUCCAAAACAACUUAAAAACACUUAAAAACGGCAAGGAACAACACUAGAAGUAAUGGGUGAUAAACUCCUACGAAUUUCAUGCAAAUCAAUUUGGUUACCCCCCCCCCCACACACUUAAAUCAAACAUUGUCCUCAAUGUUUCAAGCAUAAACUCACAUAAAAACAAGCAGACAAACAAACAACGAAUAAACAUGACAAGUAUAGCAAAGUAAAAACUAGACAGAGUAGAGUUUAAGAACGCAAAUCUGGUUUUGGAGAUAGAUGAUCUUGUUGACUUUCCACAGCUUUGAUCUCGAACUGGUUCGGAAUUCUGAGUGAGGAAUAUCAGAGUUCCUUGGUUGUGCAGUCUGCAUUCUUCUCUGCUUGUUUCUUCUGCACGGCAGGCAGGCACGAGGUAGAGAUGAUGGUCUGUUUCUUUCUUCAAUCUUUCCAAGUGCCGACCAUUUGCUUUCUUUCUCCUUGUCCCUAGCUGAGGAUGAAUUAGCACAUUGUCUCCACAUGCUUCGAGGUAUCAUUUUCACUUCCCUUAUCUGUUCCCCAGGCAGAAGUGGUAGAC
rnacentral:lncRNA from 1 species